rnacentral:rRNA from 1 species
CCUACGGGAGGCAGCAGUGAGGAAUAUUGGUCAAUGGGCGCGAGCCUGAACCAGCCAAGUCGCGUGCGGGAUGAAGGUUCUAUGGAUCGUAAACCUCUUUUGUAAGGGAAUAAAGUGUGGGACGUGUCCUAUUUUGUAUGUACCUUAUGAAAAAGCAUCGACUAACUCCGUGCCAGCAGCCGCGGUAAUACGGGGGAUGCGAACGUUAUCCGGAUUUAUUGGGUUUAAAGGGUGCGCAGGCGGAAUAUUAAGUCAGCGGUAAAAUUGAGAGGCUCAACCUCUUCGAGCCGUUGAAACUGGUUUUCUUGAGUGAGUGAGAGGUAUGCGGAAUGCGUGGUGUAGCGGUGAAAUGCAUAGAUAUCACGCAGAACUCCGAUUGCGAAGGCAGCAUACCGGCGCUCAACUGACGCUCAGGCACGAAAGUGUGGGUAUCGAACAGGAUUAGAUACCCGAGUAGUC